rnacentral:rRNA from 1 species
AGUGAACGCUGGCGGCAGGCCUAAUACAUGCAAGUCGAACGGCAGCACAGCAGAGCUUGCUCUGUGGGUGGCGAGUGGCGGACGGGUGAGGAAUACAUGGGAAUCUGCCCAGUCGUGGGGGAUAACGUAGGGAAACUUACGCUAAUACCGCAUGCGCCCUUCGGGGGAAAGCCGGGGACCUUCGGGCCUGGCGCGAUUGGAUGAGCCCAUGUCGGAUUAGCUAGUUGGCGGGGUAAUGGCCCACCAAGGCGACGAUCCGUAGCUGGUCUGAGAGGAUGAUCAGCCACACUGGAACUGAGACACGGUCCAGACUCCUACGGGAGGCAGCAGUAGGGAAUAUUGGACAAUGGGCGCAAGCCUGAUCCAGCCAUGCCGCGUGAGUGAAGAAGGCCCUCGGGUUGUAAAGCUCUUUUGUCCGGAAAGAAAGCGCCGGGUUAAUACCCUAGUGUCCUGACGGUACCGGAAGAAUAAGCACCGGCUAACUUCGUGCCAGCAGCC